UACAGAGGUCCCAAGCGUUGUUCGGAUUCACUGGGCGUAAAGGGUGCGUAGGUGGCCAGGUAAGUUCGGUGUGAAAGCUCGGAGCUUAACUCCGAAAUGUCAUUGAAUACUAUCUGGCUUGAGGGUCGGAGGGGAGACUGGAAUUCUCGGUGUAGCAGUGAAAUGCGUAGAUAUCGAGAGGAACACCAGUGGCGAAGGCGAGUCUCUGGACGACUCCUGACACUGAGGCACGAAAGCUAAGGGGAGCAAACAGG
rnacentral:rRNA from 1 species